CCAUUUGAUAAUUGCGAAAUGAAAUUCAUGAGAGAGCGAUAUGAAAAACUGUUGACUGAUUGUCUGCCUUGAGGCUGGAGCAAUGAAAACAUUCAGAGUUGAGUUGAGUUCAUAUUCAAAUACCCAGAGCAUUGAAUUUUUAAAGGUAAACACUGAGAGAACUAGGCUGCUAACUGAAAACUAAAACUCAAACAACUGCAAUGUGAGAGAGCUAUAGCAAAACUCAAAGUGGAAUGCCAGCCACAACUCCAACUCCAACUCCAACUUCUCGAGUUACAGCUCCGUCUGGAGGCAGUUGGUAAUCCCCAAGUGCUGCUGAACACGAGUAUAACACACGUAAUACAUAUUUAAACAUUUGCUGAUAGCAAAUGACAAAGGUGGUGCCCAGGAGAAUGAGAGAGCGAGAUGAAGAGAGAGAGCGAGUGAGUGGCAAAACAAUGUGUGGCUAGAAGCAGGCAAUAAAGUGGAGUGGAGUUUGGUGAAACGUGGCAUUUAACAAGUACGUGAGCCAAGCCACUCACCUGAAGAGUGACGACUGUCGAGGAGGAGAUGGAGGAGAAGCUGUGCUGUUCCAUGUGCUGGUCCUUAACGAAGCAGAACUUUCGCUCUCAGGCAGAAAGCUGAAGCACUCAAGUCUUGCCUGGCGACGGCGGCCUGUUAAGUGCCACACACACAAGCUGAGUAUUAUAGCGCAGUGUAUUCGCAAGCUCCUCGCUUUGGCGUGAACAAAGUUGCUAGCGGAAACGGAAGCGACAACUACAACUACAACACGAGGUAGAAAGCUGACUGAGCUGAACUGCACUGGACAUAGUCAAAUGCCAAACGAUGUGUGUCUUUCUGUCUCGCUGUGUCUUUCUCUCUGCUAUAAGCCUUUUGUAUCCAUAGUGACUAAGAGAGAUGCAAGUGGAAGGCAGGAGGGGGAAGGCAGAAAAGUCACUAAACUGUAACUGGAAUUACUGAAAACUAUUCACACACAAAAAUAUUGUUCAUGCUGCACACAAAAAUUGAAAAUUUUCUACUUUUGCCUGAAAUCGGAGCAGAGCAGAGGAGAGCAGCAAAAACUUUGUCUGGUUACAACACGCUGAACAGGUAAACCAAGCUGCAACCGCCGUCAACCUCCCCUGCCAUCCCCUCGAAGUGAAAAGGGUACGGAUGCGGACUACUGGCUGAUGAAAAGUCAGGAAGUAAAGUUUUACGGUUCACAUAAAAGCUGAAAUGUUCAUACAAUCAGCAUGAAUUAUAACUCGGAUGCGGAUUAAUAGUUGGCCAGCUACAUAUAUAUAUAUGUAUGGGCUUGUAUGCAGGUGUAUUUGUAUGUGGUUGUGCAGGUGUGCGAGGAUUUUGAUUUUGAUUUGGCUUCGGCUACUAUUGCAGCUUAUUCGCUUUUAGUGCAAUUGUUGCCAGAUUUUGCUCAAAAUCUCGUGAAAUGUUUGAGAGCUUUUGUAUGCUGCAUUUUGUAUGCAACAUUUCGCAUAUAUGGAAAAUUAUAAUUAAAUUUUGCAAAUUGAUUGGAACUGUCAAUGCUGCCCAAUUGAUGCCAUGAAUUCAGUGAUUGC